rnacentral:tRNA from 1 species
GCAUAUAGCUCAGUUGGUAAAGUACUUGCCUAGCAUGCAUGAAGCCCUGGGUUCAAUACCCAGCACUGCG